ACUUUUGCAGAUGUUGCGACUUACACAGCUCAUAUCCCAUCCUAUGCUGAUAUCUGGGGAUGGGUCAUGGCUUCAGAUUUUCCAUUAGAGCUGAAUGCAGAAGAGAUAUACCUAAGAAUGAGACAAAGGAUUAAGGGGGAAAAUAGAUAUCUGAAUGGCAAAACAUUCUCAUCAGCCUCAACAUUGAGCAAAGUUGUUCGCAAUUCGUUGGACAAUGAAACUCAUCUAUACACAGAGGAAGCUACAAAGUUCAUACAUGGCCAUGGCAAGCACGCUUAAUUAACCAAGCUUGACAACAAGUAUCACAACAUAUAAAGAAAACAAGUGAAAUCCCAUGUUAUGUUUUUCUUCGAUUUUUU